rnacentral:rRNA from 1 species
UACAGAGAGCGCAAACGUUGUUCGGAAUUACUGGGCUUGAAGCGCACGUAGGCGGCGUUGUAAGUGUCGGGUGAAAUCCCACGGCUCACCCGUGGAACUGCCCGGCAUACUGCGAUGCUAGAGUGUGGUAGGGGAGAGUGGAAUUCCUGGUGUAGCGGUGAAAUGCGCAGAUAUCAGGAGGAACACCGGUGGCGAAGGCGGGGUCUCUGGGGCCGAAACUGACGCUGAG